GCCACGUGUCACGUAUAAUUGCCCAUAAAUUUGGCGUUUUCGAUUCCGUAAAUAAUCACAAAAAAAUCACUCAGCUCUUACCAACGGCAAUUCCAGUACGUCAAUUCACAGUUUUCUCAGGGAACAAGAAUCGGAAAAUUAUGCCACGAUACGAGGAUGAACCUCCUGCUGUUCGAGUAUAUACCAUUUGUGAUGAAUCAAAGAAUUAAAGGUACUUGACUGCGAGGAAUGUUCCAGUACUGGGGUGUGGUGAUACUGGUGAUGAACUAAGGCAACUGUUUGCAACAUAUGGAGAAAUUGAAGAAUGAAGAGAGCAGCAGUUAUCUUAAGUAAUAUCUUCAUCCAGAUGAAAACGUUCAGACAGUCAGCUACUUCGAGCACAGCUUCCGGAACAUUAAUGCCACUUUCCAGAAGAUCCAGUUGGAGUCGUGGUAUAUAAUUGAAGGCAAGAAUCAGAAGUAUAGUGCUGAUUAUAAGCAUGCCACUGAUUACACUGCAUAUGUGCUGCCAAUCUCCUAGAACUUUACUUUUAGUCGGAGGCGAGUAUCCGAGUAGCAAUCCGUUGAAGAAGGUAGAUUGAAGGGUUCGAGAAUACCAAGCAAUUGUAAGGUAAAUAGCUAGAGCAGGCGCAAUCAAAUAGAGAUAGAGGUAGUAUAUCCAAGUGCGGAUAUAAAACUUAAGUAAAACGAGAUUGUCAUAGGCCUCACCAUGUCUAAUGAAUUGAAGUAAUCGGACAAGUAUAAAGGACAGCAAUAGACAUGGUAAGAAUACAAUUGCUAUGGGAGAAGCAAGUGCUCCCGCAACAAGACCAACACAUAUAGCACCAAUUGGAAAAAGUAACAUAAGUAGAUUGAGGAUGAUACCAUUGUAAUGCCUAUCGAUUACAUUAGCAAUGAAAGGAGUUGCCAAAAGAUAUGGUAUAAAUAGAAGAUUUAUACCACUAAUAUUGGAACGGUUUUUCAUGGUCAUGGAAAAGUACCCUAUGAAGAACGCAAUAACCCAAUGGGAAACAUGUCUUGAAAACUUCCAUCUAGUUUGGGCAACAGAUGGUGAUAUUGCUGAAUCGUAUGUUGGGAUUUCUAAAGUGGUAGCUUGAGAAAAUUGUUGCUGAGACAGCGUGGGGGUUGGUCUCGCUCGUUCGACCUCAUGAGAAAAAACAGGAUGAGAAUCAGCAAGUAAAGAUGGAUCAUAUUCCUUCAUUGUUUUUCGUUUUCUGAGAUGGCGAGUGAAGUCUUUGCACCACAAAAAGAGAAAAGACUUUAAGUUCUCAACUGGAGGUUCAUGUAAUCAUGUUAAGUUAAGAAUAGAUCAAGUCAAGUACUAAUUAAGUUAAGUUAUAAUCUUAUUAUGUAUUGCAAAUUCUCAACGUGAGGUUCAUGUUGAACAACACAUAUCCCUAUUAAAAAUUCGAAAUAUCGCCGGCAUAUUUCUACAUUUUCAGUCUGUUAA